rnacentral:rRNA from 1 species
UCCAAUUUUACAAUUCACCUGGUUUCCCACUGAAGCGAAGCAGGUUUGAGCCUGGCUAGUACCUGGAUGGGAGAACUCCUGGGGAAAACUAAAAUUGCUG